GCUCUCAGUGAUAGCACGUUGAAUACACCAGUUCCCAUUCGUUUACUCAAGUUAAGAAGUGUUGAGCGUGGUUGUAAUUCGGAUGGGUGACCAUCAGAGCAAUCGCACGAUUCUCGUGGCU
rnacentral:rRNA from 1 species